UUGCUUCAAAAGCACAUAUACUAAAAGUGGAAUGAUACAGAGAAGAUUAGCAUGACCCCUGCACAAGGAUGACAUGCAAAUUCCUGAAGCUUUCCAUAUUUUA